rnacentral:rRNA from 1 species
GAUGAACGCUGGCGGCGUGCUUAACACAUGCAAGUCGAACGAUUAAACCGCCCUCGGGCGGACAUAGAGUGGCGAACGGGUGAGUAACACGUGACCAACCUGCCCCGCGCUCCGGGACAACCGCUGGAAACGGCGGCUAAUACCGGAUACUCCGGGAGGGCCCCAUGGCCCUGCCGGGAAAGCCGAGACGGCGCGGGAUGGGGUCGCGGCCCAUUAGGUAGACGGCGGGGUAACGGCCCACCGUGCCCGCGAUGGGUAGCCGGACUGAGAGGUCGACCGGCCACAUUGGGACUGAGAUACGGCCCAGACUCCUACGGGAGGCAGCAGUGGGGAAUUUUGCGCAAUGGGGGAAACCCUGACGCAGCAACGCCGCGUGCGGGACGAAGGCCCUCGGGUUGUAAACCGCUUUCAGCAGGGAAGAUCCAAGACGGUACCUGCAGAAGAAGCUCCGGCUAACUACGUGCCAGCAGCCGCGGUAAUACGUAGGGGGCGAGCGUUAUCCGGAUUCAUUGGGCGUAAAGCGCGCGUAGGCGGCCGCCUAAGCGGGACCUCUAACCCCGGGGCUCAACCCCGGGCCGGGUCCCGGACUGGGCGGCUCGAGUGCGGUAGAGGAGAGCGGAAUUCCCGGUGUAGCGGUGGAAUGCGCAGAUAUCGGGAAGAACACCGAUGGCGAAGGCAGCUCUCUGGGCCGUCACUGACGCUGAGGCGCGAAAGCUGGGGGAGCGAACAGGAUUAGAUACCCUGGUAGUCCCAGCCGUAAACGAUGGGCGCUAGGUGUGGGGGGACGAUCCCUCCGUGCCGCAGCCAACGCAUUAAGCGCCCCGCCUGGGGAGUACGGCCGCAAGGCUAAAACUCAAAGGAAUUGACGGGGGCCCGCACAAGCAGCGGAGCAUGUGGCUUAAUUCGAAGCAACGCGAAGAACCUUACCAGGGCUUGACAUGCCGAUGAAGCCGGGGAGACCCGGUGGCCGAGAGGAGUCGGCGCAGGUGGUGCAUGGCUGUCGUCAGCUCGUGUCGUGAGAUGUUGGGUUAAGUCCCGCAACGAGCGCAACCCCCGCCCCGUGUUGCCAGCAUUCAGUUGGGGACUCGCGGGGGACUGCCGGCGUCAAGCCGGAGGAAGGUGGGGACGACGUCAAGUCAUCAUGCCCCUUAUGCCCUGGGCUGCACACGUGCUACAAUGGCCGGUACAGAGGGUUGCCACCCCGCGAGGGGGAGCGGAUCCCGGAAAGCCGGUCCCAGUUCGGAUCGCAGGCUGCAACCCGCCUGCGUGAAGCCGGAGUUGCUAGUAAUCGCGGAUCAGCACGCCGCGGUGAAUACGUUCCCGGGCCU